GCGGCUCGCUCCCACCCACCCACGCCGCCGAUUCCUCCACCUCCACCUCCACCUCCGGCGACGGGCGAUCCCCAAUCCGACGACGGCCCGCCUUCUUCCUCCCCAAGAUCCAGCGGCUCCUCUCCUCUCCGGUCGCUGCCGACCGUGCUCGGGCUGCGGCCACCAGCAGAGGACCGCCGCCGGCUCCACUAGGAAGCACCGGCACCGGCACCGGCAGAGGAGUCCUCCUUCUUCCACCCCAUAGCCGCCCGCCGCCCGCCGCCCGAAACCUUAGCACCACCCGUGGUGAUGGCGCCCUAGGCCCAUCUCAUCUGCUGGUGUCAAGGAAGGGGCCAUGCCCUCCCUCCCAUGGAGAAGCUUCUUUGGUUCUUCUACCUCCCGUCCCCUCCCCUGCCUAGGUGUACUACAGCGGCAACCAGCAAAGCAGCCAGAGGAGGCGCCAAACAUCCCACCCAGCACCAACGUGGUGAACUUCCUCUCUCCCCCACAUCUGAAUAUCAAAGCACUUUGUAUUUGCGCCUUCCUUUUUGGAUGGCAUCACGUUUUUGUUCAUCAUGCUUGAAUGUAUAAAACUCUAUGUGUGUAAGCAUCAAUUCUAUCCACACAUCACGUUUUUUCUAACUGGACAAGAGGGCUCCCUCUGUACUGUAUUGCACUGCACUCUUUGUACUCUCAGAUAGAUAAGAUUGCCCUCAAAAUGUUGUCGUUCCUCCUCAACAGACCCGUUUCAUCUGUUUGCUGCUCAAGUGUAACAUUAUCUUUCAAUCUGCUCCUGAUGAGCUACACUUCAUUUGCUGGUCGCUGUUGUACAAUAGCAGCGUACGUAGUAUACAAUCUCGUCAGAUUAAAACAAUUGAUCCUUUGACAGUUAAGGCUUUCACACAAUUGACGGAGAUGCACGCUUUUGAAUAUUUCCGCACUCAUGCGUUGUCAUCAGUAGGAUCAAAUGGUGAAUGGAUUAGCUAGCAAAUAAUUGCGCCAAAAUAUGCAUCUUUAUUACACCCUCCGAUCCAUAUUAACUGAUGCUGGUCUAGUACAAAGUUGUACUAACUUUGUACUAAACUAGCGUCAAUUAGUUUGGAUCGGAGUGAGUAUUAUUAUUACUUUGACCUGAAAACCAUAGGGAAGGCCUCGCUGACAAUAAAAUUUAUCAAGGAAAAGAUAACUACAACAACAAGAAGGGGAUGUACGUACAACACACGGGCUGUACAAGAUUUACGAAAUAAAUAAACAAAACGAAUUCAAUAACGAAUGUUGGCAUUUACUGUUUGCCACUGUUCGUCUUUUCAUAUACCUCAUCAAUGAAUUUGUGUCUCAAGUUUAAAUUUUGCUGGUAAGGGACCAUGGAGAGGCUGCCGUGGGUCGAGUUCUAGGCCAUGCUGGGGGAGGAGGGCAACCCUGAUGAGUGCAUGGACGGACAAACCUGUCGCAAGCCCCCUCCUCUUCUCCUCCAUUGCGCUGCGGCCGAACGGAGCUGUAGCCGGCAUGGGGCGUUCUUCGUCGCCGUGACCGCGACCUCUCUUCGGAACCAGGCCGGCGACAGGGACAGAACACGACGCAGCGUCGUUGCCGGGCGUGCCUUUCCUGGACCACGGCGCGGAGGCGCCGCCGUCCGACACGAGCUUGGCGGCGUAGCAGCUCUGCCUGCGUACGCGCUCACUCCGACGCCUCCCAGUGGGCUUCUUCUUCGACUCCGACCGUGCAUAGAGAUGGUCUUUUCGCCGCCGCUGACCGCGACCUCCGAGGCAUGCCGUUGGGAACCAGGCCGCUGAUAGGGCCGCAGCGUGAAGCAACGUCGUUGCCGGGCGUGCCUUUCCUGGACCACGGUGUGCAGCUGCCGCCGUCCGGCACGAGGUUGGCCACGAAGCAGCUCUGCCUGCAUUGGCCUCACUUCGACGCCUCCCACGUGGUUUCCCCAGUGGCCACUUCUUCUCGACUCCGGCAUGGGAGCAGAAGUGUGUGUGGUGGAGAACAUCACCAGUGAGUCUGUCGGCCUGCACUGGCGCUCACUCUGAUGUCUCCCUUCGGUGGCCGCUUUUUCUUCUACUCCAGCACAUGCCAAGAGCAGAAGUGUGCACGAUGGAGAACGUCACCAUCGAGUCCAUCGGCCUGCACUAGCGCUCACUUCAACAUCUCCCUCCGUUGGCUGCUUCUUCAUCUUCUACUACUCCAGCACAUCUUGCUGACGUAGGUCAGGAGCACAAGUGUGUGCAGUGGAGAACAUCACCGGCGAGUCUGUCGGCCUGCACUGGCACUCACUCUGAUGUCUCCCUCCGGUGGCUGCUUCUUCUACUCCCAUCACAUGUCAGGAGCACAAGUGUGCGCGGUGGAGAACGUCACUAGCGAGUCCGUUGGCCUGCACCGGCUCUCACUCCGACGUUUCCCUCCACUGGCCGCUUCUUCAUCUUCUACUACUCCACCACAUGUCAGGAGCAAAAGUGUGUGUGGUGGAGAACAUCACCGGUGAGUCUGUCGUCCUGCAUCCCUGCUCUCUCCAACGUCUCCCUCCGGUGGCCACUUCUUGUACUCGAGCACAUGAUGUUCCUCCUGCCUUGUGCGAUCUGAGGGUGCAUUGCUCGGAAUGGGUUUAUCCUGGCGUUGAUGCUUAUUCUUCUUCCUCUGAGCCCAGCCCAUACGCAGUUCCAGGCACACCUAGAGCAUGAAGAGAUGCAUGGCAGUGACAGUUUGGCGCCAUUGAGAUUGAUGACACAUGACGAGGAAGGAAGGCACUUCCUAGAUCCGAGAUUUGCAAGCAUCAAGAUGAAUUGGCAAGGCGAGCCGGCCGAUGGGAUGUGUUGAUAUGUGCAUUGUUUGUUGUUUUCUGACAUGGGUGGUGAUAUAGUGUUGUGUACGUACAUAAAAUAAAAUUCCUUGGUUAUUGCCUGCUGCUCUCUUUGUCAGCUGGCUGGUGGUGUUGCUCAUAGUUUUGGGAUGCUGGUGGUAUUGAACUCCUCAUGAACUAUCUAAGCUAGUGCUGAAAGAAAAUCAAAUAUCCUUGUUUUAUGUAUGAAUGCCAUGCAAUUAAUUCUCAGUGGAAGGUUUGAAUAGUUGCUGCAAA